GCCUACUAGAGCAAGGCAGACUUUCCCAGUCCAGCAAAGGUGUUGCUUCUGGAGAUAAGGUGCUAGAGAAGACUCCAGAAGCCAAUGGGUAAGGAGUCCUGAGGUCUUUGUGGAGCUCCCAGUGAAAAAUACUUACUAGAAUAACAAUUUCAAAUGCUGAUGAGACAUGGAGCCACUGGAACUCUCAUUCACUGUUGGAAGGAGUUAAAUUGGUACAACCAUUUGGGAAAACUGAACAUUUGUCUAUCCUAUGACCCAGCAAUUUUGCUUCUAGGUUGCCCAGACCAUCGGCAUAAGUAUCACCUGUUGCAGUUGUUCGAGAUGCAGACUCCCGAACCACGCCCUGUACCUACCGAAUUGGAAGAUCUGAAAGUGGGAUCUGAGAAGCUGGAUGUUAACAUGUUUGGAAGCUAUUGAGUGCUGAGACUAUGCCCGAGUGUUCCCUGUUGUAUUCCCUGCAUCUAGCAGAAUGUCUGGCACAUAGAGGUGCUCAAUAAAUACAGAAUGAUUACAUGGGCAAAAGAUGAAUCAAUAACAUGUUGCUCCGUGACUCUUACAAAUGGGGUGGGAUGGGAGUUCUGAUUUACGCCCCUCCUUACAUACCCCUUAGGCUGCAAGU